rnacentral:misc_RNA from 1 species
GAUAAAAACAAUCAAGAGAAACCAACGAGAUUCAGGUUGAGUCAUUGUUCAAACUGCAUGAUCAGUUUAAGCUAUCAUCUCUAAAUUGGCGUGCCAACAGGAAACGAAAAUCCUAAACGAGGGAGGCCAAUCGAACGAGCAAGUAAAGUAGAGAGCUCUAAUUUCUAAACCCUACACUAAUUGGAAAUUUCCUUAAUUGUUGAAUUUAAAUUCGAGUUUUAUCAUAUAUAUUCUGUGUCUAAAUUCUCUUUACUUUAAUUUUAUGAUAUGAAAAUAUUCUGUUGUUUUGUUGAUUCAGCAUUUCAAUUGUUUUCUUUUUCUUGAUUUUUAAUCUUGAAAGCGUGAAAUUUGUUCUUUCUGCCCUAACAGAUUUCUGAGUGAGGCAAUCAUGGAUGUUUCAUGUUGGGAUGGAACCCUUUCGCUGAAUGAAUUUUCUCGUGCUGCUCGAACUUUUGCAGAGAAAUGGAAAAUAAGCAAUUCUGCUUUCCCUCCUUGGUUAUGGGUUAACGUGCCAAAACGACCUUUUGUUGCUUCUCAACAAGUUGAUGGAUUCUUGUCAUUGGAAAACAUAUGCCUUAUCAGGCCAAGUAAGGUCUGGUAUUGAUGGUGUAAUAAAUCUUUCAUCUCUUUUGCACUACAAUUGAUUGUUGUCACAUGUAUUGUUAGUGUUUUUUGCACAUGACAGUGGUGCUGAAGUUAGUCAUUUAGAGGAAGAAGAGACUGGUUUCUCUGAGAAAGAAGUUGCAAUUGAUGAUGCCACAUUGGUGCUUAGCAAUCAUCAUGAGAUGCAUUACUAUGACUUCCAUAUAGUCUACAGUGCUUCAUAUAGGGUUCCAGUGCUAUAUUUCCGUGGAUAUUACAGCGAUGGAUGCCCAUUGCAGUUGAAUGAAAUUGAAAAGGACCUUCCUGCUUGCUCUGCAAAGGUGUUGUUGGAAUCAAAGUGGACUUUUAUAACUCAGGAGGUAUGUUUUUUAUUCUGUCCAUUUCUCCUUUAACAAUUUCAAUUUGCAUUCUGCUUUCUUUUUAGAUUGCUACAGUAUUGGGGAAGCUAUAAAUAGACAUGCCAAUAGCAUUUUAACCUCCUGAAAUUGACGAGUACAUUGGCCAGGUUUUGUAUAAUUAAGCCAAGGAAUAAAUAGAUUGUAUAUACUUUGGCCACUAACAUGCAAAAGACAUGAUCUUUCUCAAUGCUGGCAUAUAACAGCAUAUCAGUAAAUGCUCUUGCAUGUAGUGGAUGAUAUUAACGCAUUGCUUGUCACAUUUUUGGCUUAUUUGGUUCAUUAUGGUUGCAGUCAAUGAUUAAAUGUUGAUGGUUGGCAGCUAAUGGUUGAAGGGCCGAACAGGCACUUUGUUGUGAAAGCUGCUCUUUUAAUUGUUGAAUUUGAUGUUUCUAAUAUUUUGAGUGCUCUUCUGAAUCUAGGAGCAUCCAUACUUAAAUAGGCCAUGGUACAAGUUACAUCCAUGCGGGACCAGUGAAUGGAUGAAGUUGCUUUUCCUUGGUGAAGCUGCGUUGGCAGAAAAGAGAGUGGCAAUUGAACUGUAUCUGGUGUCCUGGUUCUCAGUCGUCGGUCAGGUGAUUGGUCUUAGGAUUCCAAUAGAAAUGAUGAAUGAUCGUACUAACUAGUUGAAACUUAACACAAAAUGUUUAAAGAAAUGAACUAGUGGUCAAGAAAGAGACCUAAUGUGAGAAGCAAGAUGCCUAGCAUGUGCAGUUUGUACAAUUUCAACAAUGCUUCUCAAGAAACAUAACAAAGCUUUUCUUUAUGGUGUGGUUAAUUUCCCAUGGUUCAUCUCCAGAACUUUUUCCAUGUACACAUAU